CGAACGGUAACAGGUCUUCGGAUGCUGACGAGUGGCGAACGGGUGAGUAAUACRUCGGAACGUGCCUAGUAGUGGGGGAUAACUACUCGAAAGAGUGGCUAAUACCGCAUGAGAUCUACGGAUGAAAGCAGGGGACCUUCGGGCCUUGUGCUACUAGAGCGGCUGAUGGCAGAUUAGGUAGUUGGUGGGGUAAAGGCUUACCAAGCCUGCGAUCUGUAGCUGGUCUGAGAGGACGACCAGCCACACUGGGACUGAGACACGGCCCAGACUCCUACGGGAGGCAGCAGUGGGGAAUUUUGGACAAUGGGCGAAAGCCUGAUCCAGCAAUGCCGCGUGCAGGAUGAAGGCCCUCGGGUUGUAAACUGCUUUUGUACGGAACGAAAAGCUCUGGGCUAAUACCCCGGAGUCAUGACGGUACCGUAAGAAUAAGCACCGGCUAACUACGUGCCAGCAGCCGCGGUAAUACGUAGGGUGCAAGCGUUAAUCGGAAUUACUGGGCGUAAAGCGUGCGCAGGCGGUUUUGUAAGACAGUGGUGAARUCCCCGGGCUCAACCUGGGAACUGCCRUUGUGACUGCAAGGCUAGAGUGCGGCAGAGGGGGAUGGAAUUCCGCGUGUAG
rnacentral:rRNA from 1 species